ensembl:lncRNA
CCCUGAUCCAGUCUGGCGGUACCAUCAGAACAACAAUAUCGAUAUUCGCAUCUUCCGCAGCAUAUUAUAGCACUUUUCCUGUCGUCUUUCUCGGGGCAGUAGAAGCCCUCUCUCCGGUUAUUUCUUUGGUCUGUCCAGCCGUGACAAUACUCACCGGUGGUGGCUGUGGCUGUCACGCGUGUGUUGGUGACAGUCAGCAGCACGCAGGCAGACAGAGAGAGGAGGUAACUCGGUGUGAACAUCGGGCUUGUAUCCUGCGUCGGCCCCCGGAGAGACUCGACGGCUCUUGCCUCUCAAGGUGGCGUUUCCAAAAUAGCAGGCUUCAGCACUAAGGGGGCUAACCUGAAAUAGCGAGCGACACUAAACACGACAAAGAAUGUUCUCUCCACACGUGACGGCCUAUAAGAACCAGCACUACGAGGAGCUGCGGCGGCAGAGCCAGGAGAGGGCCCAGCUGUUUGAAGACCCAGAGUUCCCUUGUGUCGACUCCUCACUCUUCUUCAGCAAGCCUCCUCCAGGCAGGGUGGAAUGGAAGAGGCCAAAG